UAGGUCUCCAAAGUGGAUACUGCUCUCGGGGUCUGCUCGACUCGUCUGCUGGUCUUCCCCAGGGACCGGUCUUCUGCCAGGAGCUCCCCCAGGGCUGGGGAGACAGCAAAGACGCACCGCUGACCCAGGCUGACGUGGUUGCUCCAUGAGCAGGGAGGAUGCUUGCGGAGGCAGCAUGUCGGACAAGAGCAGAGCGAGAUCGGGGAGCAUAAGCUGAAUCACCUUUACAACUUGAAGCCUCUAGGUUGAGACUUUGAGAUUGGACAUCUCCUCUCUAGAGAGCAGGUUUGCCGCAGUCAUUUUUUUGUGGCUGCAACAACCCUUUUGUGGCCUCAGCCAGGCAGCCCUGGGCAGGUUGGGUAUUCACUGAACAGCACAAGCUGGGGUUGAACUUCUGAGCUCAUCCAGCUUUUUAACAUCUGUGAUAGGGGAUUACAAUGAUACUACUAGCACAGCUCUAGCUGUUACCCAUCUUCAGGAAAAUGCUCCCAAAAUGAGACAACGUGAGGAGUUCUCAUGCUUGAAACUCAUUCAUUUAGAAAAAGCCAGACAUUUCUGCUCACUCCAGGACAUCUGCUACAGCUUCCCUGGCCCCCCUCUAUUGAGAAUUUGUCAAUGACUCAAAUUUCUGCAUUUUCCCAUGGUAGGGAAUCUCCUCCCCUCUCUUUCUUGCUCCGUCUGCCAACCUCCGUGGUUCUUCUGAUGCCUUGUUGUUAUUCCAUCAAGUAUUCUUCCUCCUGAAAUUAUCAUCCUUUUCUUCAUUUUUUUAAGCAGUUUUUUUUUUCUUCUUCUUCCUUUUCAAACCUCCCUGGCUUUGAGGUUUCCUUAUUUGCCGUCUCUCAGGGAGGAUCAACUGUAAAUGCCUAAAUUAUGAGGCUUCAACCUUGAUCAAUAUGCUGUGGGUGGAAAAGAAGGAAGUGCUUUCUGUCAAUUUUGUGUUAAAUCAGUGACUUUUAAUAAAAGGGAGCUUGUUCUGUGA